rnacentral:rRNA from 1 species
CCUACGGGAGGCAGCAGUAGGGAAUAUUUCACAAUGGGGGAAAGCCUGAUGGAGCAACGCCGCGUGCAGGAUGAAGGUUUUCGGGUUGUAAACUGCUUUUGUUAGAGAGGAUUAUGAUGGUAACUAAUGAAUAAGGAUCGGCUAACUCCGUGCCAGCAGCCGCGGUCAUACGGAGGGUGCGAGCAUUAUCCGGAGUGACUGGGUGUAAAGAGUGGCGUAGGUGGAAUAAGAAGUAGCUAGUAAAAUCUCGUGGGUUAACCAAUCAGACUAUUAGCUAAACUGUUAUGCUAGAGAAUGUGAGAGGUAGCUGGAAUUCUUGGUGUAGGAGUAAAAUCCGUAGAUAUCAGAAGGAACACUCAUAGCGUAGGC